GACGAACGCUGGCGGCGUGCUUAACACAUGCAAGUCGAACGAGGUCCAAUCGAUCGCAAGAGAGAUGAAGACCUAGUGGCGAACGGGUGCGUAACACGUGAGAAACCUAUCCUAGUCUCUGGAAUAACAGGUGGAAACACCCGCUAAUACCGGAUGCCGUUGGAGCGUCGCAUGACGCAUGAACGAAAGAUUUAUCGGUCUGGGAGGGUCUCGCGGCCUAUCAGCUAGUUGGUGAGGUAACGGCUCACCAAGGCUUCGACGGGUAGCUGGUCUGAGAGGAUGAUCAGCCACACUGGGACUGAGACACGGCCCAGACUCCUACGGGAGGCUG
rnacentral:rRNA from 1 species